GAUGAACGCUAGCGGGAGGCCUAAUACAUGCAAGUCGAGCGGUAGAGUGACUUCGGUUGCUUGAGAGCGGCGAACGGGUGAGUAACGCGUACACAAUCUACCUUUAAGAGGGGAAUAGCCCUGGGAAACUGGGAUUAAUGCCCCAUGGCAUCACGAGACGGCAUCGUUUUGUGAUUAAAGCUGAGGUGCUUAGAGAUGAGUGUGCGUCUGAUUAGCUAGUUGGUGCGGUAACGGCGCACCAAGGCGACGAUCAGUAGGGGGCGUGAGAGCGUGGACCCCCACCACGGGUACUGAGACACGGACCCGACUCCUACGGGAGGCAGCAGUAAGGAAUAUUGGUCGAAUAGGAGGGAAACUACUGAACCAACGCCACUCCCGCCGUGCAGGAAGAAU
rnacentral:rRNA from 1 species